rnacentral:rRNA from 1 species
UUAGCUGAGAGGUGGUGCAUGGCCGUCGUCAGUUCGUACUGUGAAGCAUCCUGUUAAGUCAGGCAACGAGCGAGACCCACGCCCACAGUUGCCAGCGUACUCUCUGGAGUGACGGGUACACUGUGGGACCGCCGCUGCUAAAGCGGAGGAAGGAAUGGGCAACGGUAGGUCAGUAUGCCCCGAAUAUCCCGGGCUACACGCGAGCUACAAUGGUUGGUACAAUGGGUAUCUACCCCGAAAGGGGACGGGAAUCUCCUAAAACCAAUCUUAGUUCGGAUUGAGGGCCGCAACUCGCCCUCAUGAAGCUGGAAUCCGUAGUAAUCGCGUUUCAACAGAACGCGGUGAAUACGUCCCUGCUCCUU